UUCCAACUCAAAUGAUUCUGGAUAGAUGGAUACAUGCUGGAUAUAUGAACUUCAUAUAAUUUCUUCCAGAUCAGCAUGAGAAGCACUGAAGCUUUCAGCCCAGCACUGUGCUUGAUACGCUGCUAAGCAACAGAAAAUAGCACCCAAAGUGGAGGAAAGGUUGAGUGACCAAGUGCAAGUGGCCGUUAGCUGCAGUGUUUGGAGAGCAAACACAGCACAUCCCGCGCCUGACUCAUUCCUCUCUCCUCCAAUCUCCAACCAAUGGCUCUGCUCUGCUGGCUGGCAGUGGCAAGGAGUUUGGCUCAGCAUGCUCUGAAUUUCUCCAGCACUUUCCCUACUUCCUCUUGCAGCCUAUACUCUGCAGCUCCUCCUUGGAGAGGACACCCUGUGGAAGUCACCUCUCCUGGGGACAUGCAAGGUCCCUCAGAGCCCCAGUGCUUUGCCGUACAUUGCCCACACGACUUCCAUUGACUGCAGAGGGAGCCAAAGGAAUAGGAAGAUUUUGGAAACUGCGUUGGGUUUCACCCCUGGCUGAGCUGCUGGAGGACCACCCCAGGGGUGGUGGAAGGAGGAGUAGCCAUGAAGGAAUAUAAGACUCUCCUCACGGGCCGUCCUGCUGUGGUAGUGCAGGGUUUGCCUUCAGAAAGGUGCUGCUUCCUUGUGGGUGCAGAGUGCCACCUACUGAGCCACCACUUGAGAUGAUCCAAGUGGAACUCACAUGCGCAGGGUGUGAAGUUAUGCAUGUUCAGCCAUCAAACAGACAGAAUACAUAGAUGACAUUUCCCCUGUCCUGACCCCACUACUGGAGGAGCCACCCCGCUCCCACCCUCUCUGCCCCUGUCCCUCACUACCAUGCAGCAGCCCUUGAGGUGUGGGCAGGACUUGCCCAGUGACACCAAUCCUGAUGCCUGCUCAGCCCUGAUGGGGCAUCACGUCCUCCAGCGUCCACGUGCCAACUGUGAUCUCGUUAUUCACUUUCUUUACUUUUGAUAAAACCCCAGAGAAAUGCGUGAAGGGAAAGGAAGUUGCUGCAAUUGCUGCCCAUUAAUUUUCUCUACUGACAUCAAAUGUUUGUUCUGUAGGGGCGGGCGCAGCUGAGCUGGGUGUUUGAGCAUGAGUUAUCCUUUCCCAUGCAUCCAGAUGCCAUAUCUUCUGCUAUCAGAAGCCACCUCACAGGCUGGGAGAGGGCUUUGAAGUGUGGUGUGCGUGACUCCAGUUCCUGCUGAUGCAAGCCAGGAGUGCCAUAAUAAAGGGGACGUGGAAGCCCAGCCCGGAUGCUGGGGAGGAGGGAAGGGAAGGGCCCGGAUGCUGCACCUCUGGAAAUCAGCACAGAUCAUGCUCCUCUUUGCAACAUGCAGGCAUUCAGAUUCCUGCUCUGAAAAUCUUCAACAGCAAUGCUGCUCCUGAGAUGGUGACAGUCCCACAGUACACCCUUCUUUUCUCAGACGCCUAUGCUGGAGCAGGGCUUGAAUGGGUAAAACCUGUCCAGAAAGGGAAUAAUGUUACAACUCAGGUGAGACAGAAGUUCUGCCCAGUGCUGGGAGGAUGUUUGGAAGCUGCCUGCUGUGAGCACUCUGCUACCAGCUCUGACUGCUCCAUUUUUCACCCAGCAUGCACCCAGCAUCUCUCAUCUGACCCAACACAUCCUCUAAUGCUUCCCCACUCGUUUGUGUGCAAUAACUCAGCAAAUCCUUCGGGCAGAUUCUGACCCCAGUGAUCACUGUAAGGGCUGAAGCUCUGAGCUGGGUGAGGCAGCAUGUAAUUACACCAGCACAGCUAGCCAUCCUAUGGGGAGAGCACUAGAACUCGCUGUCCAUUCCUCCUUCUCCUCGGGUGAUCCACUCACUGGAAUCUUCCCUAGCAAUCUCAGGCUGUGUCCUGCCCACAUCCUCCUGGAGGCAGCUCUCCAAGAUCCCACAGCACAAUACCACUUCCUGACCAUGCUGCUCCAGGGGAGGCACAACAAGUGGUAAAGGUAUUAGACAGGAAUCCCUAAAGAAACUGGGACCUCAGCUAUUGUCAUCAGUGUGAGCUGAUGCACCAAUGUCCCUUUGGCCCUUCACUUUGCACAUCAGUGUUUCACCUGCAUCCUGCACACAAUUCGAUAGGACAUGAGGACAUGGCUUUAGGUUGUGCCAGGAGAGGUUCGGGUUGCAUAUUAGGAAACAUUUAUUCUCAGAAAGAGUGGUGAUGCAGUGGUACAAGCUGCCCAGAGAGAUAGUGCAGUCACUGUCCCUGGAGGUGUUCAAGAACCAUGGAGAUGUGACUCUGAGGAACAUGGUAGGCAAUGUUGCUAGUAAGUGGACAGCUGGACUGUUUGAUCUUAGAGAUCUUUUCCAACCUUAAUGAUUCUAUGAUUCCAUUAUUCGGUAUUAUACAUUGAGAACAUCAUGUCACCGGUAAAUGAGCAUCCAAUUUCAGCUCAGACAAUGUGUGUAACUAUGUGUGCAUUGAGGCUGUUGAAGAAUUAAUGUCUAUUGCUGGGAAAACAUAGGCUUUUUCUUUCUCCAGUGUCUUACAGAUUGAGUUGGAAAAGACCGGGGCACAAAACAUCAGAUUAUAAAAGCCCCACCACAAACAUGCAAACAAACAAACAAAACCCCAAAGUCCUGCAACACUGCAUUUUUAAAACCUAAAACACAGUUGCCUCUAAUACUUGCAAUAUUAGUUACAUAUCUUCUGGUUUCUUUAUCCCAUGCAACUUUUACACAAUAUCACUUUUUUGCACACUAUGACAAACUGACGUUCUGUCAGCAAAAGCCCUUAGCCCUUAAUUAUCUCACUCUUAUUGAGCGCAGCCCCUCCUUUGUAAGGAGUACUGUGUGGCACAAUCAGAACCAAACACAGCCGCUGGUUUUCACAGCAGAAGGGCAACCUCUUGUAGCUGCAGUACAAGGCAAAGUUCCUUGGAGUGGCCUUGCACAGACAGACUAGCCAUCACUUGGGAUAGGUGUCAGGCUGCCCCAGAAGGACCUUGCCUGUGGAAAUGCAUCCCAGAUGAAGCACACUGGUGCCAAAGGAAGCUGCAAGAGAUGGAUUGGAUAACUGAGUCUCUUAAUGGGGUGAAUACCACAUCACAUUUCUCACUUCAGUGGCUUGAGCAUAAAAUCACCACGGGGAAGUGUUAUCAGCCCCUUUGAAAGCACACAGCAUGUGAAUGAAUGACACAGUGCUAAGCAUUUUGGGGGACUCCCACCUCACAUGAGGACUGGGAGUGUGUGACCAAAAUAGCUGACGUUUUCCUUCCAUGUCAUGGGUUAUUUCCAUUAUAGAAGUGAAGUACAUGUAGAAUCAUUUGGGAAUUCUCUCUUGGAGGUGCAGCAGAACUUUCAGCUUUUUACUUGAAUCACCUGAAUUACUGGGAUGGGGUUGGCAUUGGUAGCGUCAUGCCACAGCUGAGUGUUUCCCAGCGCCCUCCCACUGGCGCAUCAGUGGUGAAUUUUCUUUACCUACAUGAAGUCAUUUUGUUUGAAAAAACAAUGAAUCACAAAGAGAAGCCCAAAGCAAUUAGAAAUUCCUUUCCUCUCACCUUUGCCAAAGCGGGAUUUUUUCCCCAGAACAAAGCCUGGGCAAGCCUCCUUACGCACAGCAAUGAUUACGUAGGUUGCUCUGGAUUUUGUUUUUUUGUUGUUUUUUUUUUCUUUUUCUUUUUUCACAGACCGUGAGUAAGCAAAAAAGCUCAGGAGAACACUCUACUUCAUGAGCAGUUUGUUAUGCUUCCUUGGAAAUCCCAUUGUGCAGGCAGUGCCUGAAUUGGCUGCAGCUCCCGUGCCCCGUGACGCUGGCUGCCUCCAGUCACACACAUCCAUCUAUCAGCAGUGCUCCUCAUGUCCCCUCUUCCUUCGCAUUGCAUCUGUCCCCAGCAGGCUGGAGCAUGGAGCCACUGCUUUCCCAGCAGAGGACUGCUGAGACACCGCAUGCAGACCUGGAGUGCUGUGCUACCAGCCCUGCUGGGUGAUUGCUCUCACCCCCUGGUCCAGGCUGGAUCUGCAUGGGAGGCAUCGUUCCGUCAAUGCAGAGAGGAGACUCAGUGCUGUCACUAUUCGAGUGCCACCGGUGGGCCGAGCAACUCCUGUCUGAGCUCAUUGCCAAAGCCUGGAAAGACACAAUGACUCCUACAUUCUCAGACUGUGAGCUCAAGCGGUUCGUUUUGAAGUGGAUGAGUUUGCAGGAAGGGUAUCUGUGAGGUGCCUAAAAUCUAUCAUUCCACUUGGCAUUGCUGUUAGGCUCUGCUGAGGAUGAGCUAGUUUCAGGACACGUGCAGCCUUGAGGAACAAGACUUCUGUAGCUGCAGAGAUCUGCUGCCAGGCUCAGGCUUGGGAAGAUGAGACUUAUCUGGGAGAUAUCAGUAACCUGAUCCCUUGGCUGCUCCAGGGACAGAGCACAUGGGGGACAGGGAGGCCAUUGGAGAUGAAUGUCAGAUCAGGAUGGACUGCAGCCACAUAUCUGGGGUAGUCUGACUCUCCAACCUCGAUUUCCAUUUUGUGUUACACUGAAAUUUCAGAAUAAUUUUUUUUUCCAUGUGGAGCUGGCAAUGCUACAAAUUUUGACAUAAUGCUAGAACAGAUUUUCUUGGUGCACACGAAAGUAUCCUUUAUUCGGUGAGCUCAGAAUGUUAUCUGCUGUUUGGGGCACAAAACACUCCUUUUCUACAAGAGACUUCUGCAUGUUGUUCCUUUCUUCCAGCUGGCUCCUGGUGAAAGAGCGGGUGCACAGCACGAUGCCCCACAUCAAGAGAUUAGGAUCCGCAAUGAGAGAUGGCAGUCUGCGAUGUGACCACUAGGUGGGCACAGAACCAGUGGCAGAAGAUUCAUGGGUCGCAGCUGUUCAGGAAUACUGAUUAAGGAAAGACUUGUCCUUCUCUUCUCUCUCGAUUUUGAGAGGCAUUGAGUCCUCCCAUUUGCUGUUCACUUUAUUAUGAUGUCCUUUUGACAAUAAAAUGUCUCACUGACUUUUC